rnacentral:tRNA from 1 species
AGUAGAGUAAUCAAAAAGUGUUUUAUUCAUAGUGAAGAAGAGCAGACUGAAUGAAGCUAACAGCCUGGGUUCAAAUCCCAGCUCUGCUA